rnacentral:rRNA from 1 species
AUUGAACGCUGGCGGCAUGCCUUACACAUGCAAGUCGAACGGCAGCAUGAUCUAGCUUGCUAGAUUGAUGGCGAGUGGCGAACGGGUGAGUAAUACAUCGGAACGUGCCCUGUAGUGGGGGAUAACUAGUCGAAAGAUUAGCUAAUACCGCAUACGACCUGAGGGUGAAAGUGGGGGACCGCAAGGCCUCAUGCUAUAGGAGCGGCCGAUGUCUGAUUAGCUAGUUGGUGAGGUAAAGGCUCACCAAGGCGACGAUCAGUAGCUGGUCUGAGAGGACGAUCAGCCACACUGGGACUGAGACACGGCCCAGACUCCUACGGGAGGCAGCAGUGGGGAAUUUUGGACAAUGGGGGCAACCCUGAUCCAGCAAUGCCGCGUGUGUGAAGAAGGCCUUCGGGUUGUAAAGCACUUUUGUCCGGAAAGAAAUCGCACUUACUAAUAUUAGGUGUGGAUGACGGUACCGGAAGAAUAAGGACCGGCUAACUACGUGCCAGCAGCCGCGGUAAUACGUAGGGUCCAAGCGUUAAUCGGAAUUACUGGGCGUAAAGCGUGCGCAGGCGGUUGUGCAAGACCGAUGUGAAAUCCCCGGGCUUAACCUGGGAAUUGCAUUGGUGACUGCACGGCUAGAGUGUGUCAGAGGGGGGUAGAAUUCCACGUGUAGCAGUGAAAUGCGUAGAGAUGUGGAGGAAUACCGAUGGCGAAGGCAGCCCCCUGGGAUAACACUGACGCUCAUGCACGAAAGCGUGGGGAGCAAACAGGAUUAGAUACCCUGGUAGUCCACGCCCUAAACGAUGUCAACUAGUUGUUGGGGAUUCAUUUCCUUAGUAACGUAGCUAACGCGUGAAGUUGACCGCCUGGGGAGUACGGUCGCAAGAUUAAAACUCAAAGGAAUUGACGGGGACCCGCACAAGCGGUGGAUGAUGUGGAUUAAUUCGAUGCAACGCGAAAAACCUUACCUACCCUUGACAUGCCACUAACGAAGCAGAGAUGCAUUAGGUGCUCGAAAGAGAAAGUGGACACAGGUGCUGCAUGGCUGUCGUCAGUUCGUGUCGUGAGAUGUUGGGUUAAGUCCCGCAACGAGCGCAACCCUUGUCUCUAGUUGCUACGAAAGGGCACUCUAGAGAGACUGCCGGUGACAAACCGGAGGAAGGUGGGGAUGACGUCAAGUCCUCAUGGCCCUUAUGGGUAGGGCUUCACACGUCAUACAAUGGUGCAUACAGAGGGUUGCCAAGCCGCGAGGUGGAGCUAAUCCCAGAAAAUGCAUCGUAGUCCGGAUCGUAGUCUGCAACUCGACUACGUGAAGCUGGAAUCGCUAGUAAUCGCGGAUCAGCAUGCCGCGGUGAAUACGUUCCCGGGUCU